rnacentral:lncRNA from 1 species
ACUUAUUUUGAGUUUUUGUAAAACUGGGCCACCUUUUUUUACAGAUUCGGUCUACUUUUUCAGCAAACUGACCAAAAUAUCCUUAUAUUUUUUUCUCUCUCCUCUUUUUUUUUUCUCUCCUUUCUUCGAUCCCGUCGCCGCGGAACCCCAGCCCUAGACCGACUCCCCCUCUCCUCCUCGCCUCCUCGUCCUCGGCCCCACCCCUACCGCCUCCGCCGCCGCCGCCGCCAACGUAGGAGGAGCGACGGCGUUGGUGGAGGAGAAUGAGCGGCUGCGGCGAAGCAACGCGGCGGUGGUGGCGGAGCUGGCCCCGAGCUUGGCGGCUUCUCCGCUCGUCGCAG